CAAAAAGAUAAAAAGUUGGGUUGCAAGUUGAAAAAAAACCCAUUGUAACAGCAGCUGAUAUGAAAACUGUCCUUGACUCUAGAACAGGUGUUGCUGGAUGUCAAGUCUCUAAAUGUGCUAACAACACCUCAUAACACAAACUGAUAACACACAAGUUAGAAGGAAUAAAUGAUUUUAAUGAGUUGUGAGUUGAAAAAGAUGGUAUACUACUGAGGAAAGCCUACAACAUCGGCAAGGUAAAAUUUAUUCCUAAUAAAUCCAUAGACCAAAUGGAUUUUGGUAAACGACAGGAAAAUAAAACAGAAUAAUGUGUGAUAAUAUCAGGAUUUGAUUUACCUGUUAAUGUAACUGGAAAAAUCAAAAUGCCUAAAACAGUUGGUGCAGUUAAUCUCCAUGAAGGACCAGAAAUAAAAAACAGAAAAUGGUGAAGACU